rnacentral:rRNA from 1 species
AACGAACGCUGGCGGCAUGCCUAACCCAUGCAAGUCGAACGAGACCUUCGGGUCUAGUGGCGCACGGGUGCGUAACGCGUGGGAACCUGCCCUUAGGUUCGGACUAACUCCCCGACAGGGGUGCUAAUACCGGAUACUGUCUUCGGACCAAAGAUUUAUCGCCUUUGGAUGGGCCCGCGUUGGAUUAGCUAGUUGGUAGGGUAAAAGCCUACCAAGGCGACGAUCCAUAGCUGGUCUGAGAGGAUGAUCAGCCACACUGGGACUGAGACACGGCCCAGACUCCUACGGGAGGCAGCAGUGGGGAAUAUUGGACAACGGGCGAAAGACUGAACCAGCACUGCCGCGUGAGUGAUGAAGGCCUUAGGGUUGUAAAGCUCUUUUACCCGGGAGGAUAAUGACAGUACCGGGAGAAUAAGCGCCGGCUAACUCCGUG